rnacentral:rRNA from 1 species
GACGAACGCUGGCGGCGUGCUUAACACAUGCAAGUCGAACGCGCCUGUCCUCUGGGUUUCUGGGGGGUGGGUGAGUGGCGAACGGGUGAGUAACACGUGAGUAACCUGCCCCCUUCUUCGGGAUAACGGUCUGAAAGGGCUGCUAAUACCGGGUAUUCACUGGUCUCCGCAUGGGGUCUGGUGGAAAGGUUUUUUUCUGGUGGGGGAUGGGCUCGCGGCCUAUCAGCUUGUUGGUGGGGUGAUGGCCCACCAAGGCUUUGACGGGUAGCCGGCCUGAGAGGGUGACCGGUCACAUUGGGACUGAGAUCCGGCCCAGACUCCUACGGGAGGCAGCAGUGGGGAAUAUUGCACAAUGGGCGCAAGCCUGAUGCAGCGACGCCGCGUGAGGGAUGGAGGCCUUCGGGUUGUGAACCUCUUUCGCCCGUGGUCAAGCCGCGACGUGGGUCGUGGUGAGGGUAGUGGGUAAAGAAGCGCCGGCUAACUACGUG